rnacentral:rRNA from 1 species
UAGGGAAUCUUCGGCAAUGGACGGAAGUCUGACCGAGCAACGCCGCGUGAGUGAAGAAGGUUUUCGGAUCGUAAAGCUCUGUUGUAAGAGAAGAACGAGUGUGAGAGUGGAAAGUUCACACUGUGACGGUAUCUUACCAGAAAGGGACGGCUAACUACGUGCCAGCAGCCGCGGUAAUACGUAGGUCCCGAGCGUUGUCCGGAUUUAUUGGGCGUAAAGCGAGCGCAGGCGGUUAGAUGAGUCUGAAGUUAAAGGCUGUGGCUUAACCAUAGUAGGCUUUGGAAACUGUUUAACUUGAGUGCAAGAGGGGAGAGUGGAAUUCCAUGUGUAGCGGUGAAAUGCGUAGAUAUAUGGAGGAACACCGGUGGCGAAAGCGGCUCUCUGGCUUGUAACUGACGCUGAGGCUCGAAAGCGUGGGGAGCAAACAGGAUUAGAUACCCUGGUAGUCCACGCUGUAAACGAUGAGUGCUAGGUGUUAGACCCUUUCCGGGGUUUAGUGCCGUAGCUAACGCAUUAAGCACUCCGCCUGGGGAGUACGACCGCAAGGUUG